CGGACGGGUGAGUAAUGUCUGGGAAACUGCCCGAUGGAGGGGGAUAACUACUGGAAGCGGUAGCUAAUACCGCAUAACGUCGCAAGACCAAAGAGGGGGACCUUAGGGCCUCUUGCCAUCGGAUGUGCCCAGAUGGGAUUAGCUAGUAGGUGGGGUAAUGGCUCACCUAGGCGACGAUCCCUAGCUGGUUUGAGAGGAUGACCAGCCACACUGGAACUGAGACACGGUCCAG
rnacentral:rRNA from 1 species